UCAUUGAAGUUUCAGGCAAUGGAUGUGGGG
rnacentral:piRNA from 1 species